UAGUCCACGCAGUAAACGAUGAAUGUUAGUCGUCGGGUAGCUAGUCUAUUCGGUGAUGCAGCUAACGCAUUAAACAUUCCGCCUGGGGAGUACGGUCGCAAGAUUAAAACUCAAAGGAAUAGACGGGGACCCGCACAAGUGGUGGAGCAUGUGGUUUAAUUCGAAGAUACGCGAAGAACCUUACCUGGCCUUGACAUAUUUUAGAAUUCUUUAGAGAUAGAGAAGUGCCUUCGGGAGCUAAUAUACAGGUGCUGCACGGCUGUCGUCAGCUCGUGUCGUGAGAUGUUGGGUUAAGUCCCGCAACGAGCGCAACCCUCGUCACUAGUUACUAACGGUUCGGCCGAGGACUCUAGUGAGACUGCCUUCGCAAGGAGGAGGAAGGUGAGGACGACGUCAAGUCAUCAUGGCCCUUACGGCCAGGGCAACACACGUGCUACAAUGGGUAGAUACAAACCGAAGCAAUACUGUAAAGUGGAGCAAAUCGGAUAAAACUACUCUCAGUUCGGAUUGUGGU
rnacentral:rRNA from 1 species